CGUAGGUGGCGAGCGUUGUCCGGAAUUACUGGGUGUAAAGGGCGUGUAGGCGGGAAGAUAAGUCAGAUGUGAAAUUCCAGGGCUCAACCCUGGCGCUGCAUCUGAACUAUUUUUCUUGAGUGCCGGAGAGGGAAGCGGAAUUCCUAGUGUAGCGGUGAAAUGCGUAGAUAUUAGGAGGAACACCAGUGGCGAAGGCGGCUUUCUGGACGGUAACUGACGCUGAGGCGCGAAAGCGUGGGGAGCAAACAGGAUUAGAUACCCUGGUAGUCCACGCUGUAAACGAUGGAUACUAGGUGUAGGAGGUAUCGACCCCUUCUGUGCCGCAGUUAACACAAUAAGUAUCCCACCUGGGGAGUACGGCCGCAAGGUUG
rnacentral:rRNA from 1 species